rnacentral:rRNA from 10 species
UGGUUAGUUACUUGGAUGGGUGACCGCCUGGGAACACCA